rnacentral:rRNA from 1 species
UACGGGGGGGGCAAGCGUUGUUCGGAAUUACUGGGCGUAAAGGGCUCGUAGGUGGCCAACUAAGUCAUACGUGAAAUCCCUCGGCUUAACCGGGGAACUGCGUCUGAUACUGGAUGGCUUGAGUUUGGGAGAGGGAAGCGGAAUUCCCGGUGUAGUGGUGAAAUGCGUAGAUAUCGGGAGGAACACCAGUGGCGAAGGCGGCUUCCUGGCCUGUUCUUGACGCUGAGGCGCGAAAGCUAGGGUAGCAAACGGG